UAGGGAAUCUUUCACAAUGGGCGAAAGCCUGAUGGAGCAACGCCGCGUGCAGGAUGAAGGCCUUCGGGUUGUAAACUGCUUUUAUAAGCGAGAAAUAUGAUGGUAACUUAUGAAUAAGGAUCGGCUAACUACGUGCCAGCAGCCGCGGUCAUACGUAGGAUCCGAGCAUUAUCCGGAGUGACUGGGUGUAAAGAGUUGCGUAGGUGGCAUAAUAAGUAGCUAGUGAAAUCUGGUGGCUCAACCAUUCAGACUAUUAGCUAAACUGUUAAGCUCGAGACCGUUAGGGGUAACUGGAAUUUCUAGUGUAGGAGUGAAAUCCGUAGAUAUUAGAAAGAACACCAAUAGCGUAGGCAGGUUAC
rnacentral:rRNA from 1 species